UUUGUUAAACUCUGAAAAGAAUGCUUUAAGAGCAGAUUUGCUUCUGCUCUGAGAUACUACAAGCAAUAUUUCACAUGCCACUGCCCCAGAGACUGUAUUAAUCAGCAAAACAGUAAUGGGAGUACAUUCUGAUAAUAAAUAUUUUCAUGUUUUAGUAAUAAAGGGGAUACAUUUUACGGUGUGAAAAGGAAGAAACAAGAAGAGCUGGUGCUCUACAUUUAGAAACAGUGAUAAUUCCAGGGAUUUGCUGAUUGGAGAAUUAAGGAGGAACAAAUGGACUAUUAAAAUCCAGGCUUUGCAGUCAGAAAGGACCCAGGACAGCAGUGGAUCAAAGAAGGAGAGCAGCAGAAGUGGAUCAGAAAGAAGAGAGCACAAAUGAACGGUGCUGCCUGACAGCUGGGAAUCAAAAGGAAAUGCUGGAUAUAUUUGGGACAUGUACUCUGAAUGGCAACACCCAAACUCCCCCAUGAAACUGUCAAGUGGAAACCAACUGGUUUGAGAAAAUGAAGGUACCCAAGAGAAGCCUUAUGAAGAAUGCUUAGCAGGAAGGGCAGAAUAGUUGAUCUCAACACAAUAUGGCAAAUGGAAGCAGCAGAGGAAUGGGUGAGAGUGGUUCUUGCCCUUUGUGCCCACAUUGGCACGGGAAGGAUGAUAUUCUCUUUAUGAACUGUGUGGUCAUCCCUAAUGUUCCAGCCCAUGAAGAAGCUGCUUUUUUAUAUAUACAAUGAACCCUGAAGACCAUUAUUCCAGUCAAGUUUCUUGAAGGCCUCCAAGUAAACCAUGAGCUCUUUGAUCAUCAAGAUCCAGACCGUACAAUGUUUUGCUCACAAUGUUCAUUUUUUGUAUAAGAUAUGGUACACUAUCUUAGAAAAACAAGAAACAAAAAUUCAGAAAUGUUUGUUUGCAAGCUAUCAGCUUCCAACUUAAGUUCCAACUAGGGUUGCCAACUUUCUAUUUGCAUAAAACACCCUAGCCCCGCCCCUUCCCUGAGGUCAUGCCCCCUUCCCCGCCCCUUCCCCGAGGCCCUGCCCCUGCCCCCCACU